UGGGGAAUAUUGCACAAUGGGCGAAAGCCUGAUGCAGCGACGCCGCGUGAGGGAUGAAUGCCUUCGGGUUGUAAACCUCUUUCAGUAGGGAAGAAGCCGCUUCGGCGGUGACGGUACUUGCAGAAGAAGCGCCGGCUAACUACGUGCCAGCAGCCGCGGUAAUACGUAGGGCGCAAGCGUUAUCCGGAAUUAUUGGGCGUAAAGAGCUCGUAGGCGGUUUGUCGCGUCUGCUGUGAAAGCCCGGGGCUCAACCCCGGGUCUGCAGUGGGUACGGGCAGACUGGAGUGCAGUAGGGGAGACUGGAAUUCCUGGUGUAGCGGUGAAAUGCGCAGAUAUCAGGAGGAACACCGAUGGCGAAGGCAGGUCUCUGGGCUGUUACUGACGCUGAGGAGCGAAAGCAUGGGGAGCGAACAGGAUUAGAUACCCUGGUAGUCCAUGCCGUAAACGUUGGGCACUAGGUGUGGGGGACAUUCCACGUUUUCCGCGCCGUAGCUAACGCAUUAAGUGCCCCGCCUGGGGAGUACGGCCGCAAGGCUAAAACUCAAAGGAAUUGACGG
rnacentral:rRNA from 1 species